GUGAGGCGUCCGGACUGGCCCAGGGAGGUCGGCAACGACCACCCAGGGCCGGAAAGUUCGUCAAACUUGGUCAUUUAGAGGAAGUAAAAGUCGUAACAAGGUCUCCGUAGGUGAACCUGCGGAGGGAUCAUU
rnacentral:rRNA from 1 species